UGGGUCUCGCUAUAUGUAUUGUUUGGUUGG
rnacentral:piRNA from 1 species